rnacentral:lncRNA from 1 species
AUUAGAUUCUCAGCACCACUUAUAAAUAAAUAAAGUUCUAUCAACAACUUAAAAAAUAUUAAGGGGCUGAGAUUGUGGCUCAGCGGUAGAGUGCUCGCCUAGCAGUGGUGGGGCCCGGGUUCAAUCCUCAGCACCAAUAAAAAUAAUGUGUUAUGUCCACCUACACCUAAAAAAAUAAAUGUUUUUUAAAAGGAAUUUAUUUUAAAAAAGAAGAAAUUCUGACACAUGUGACAGCACUGAUGAACCUUGAAGACAUUAUACCAAGGGAAAUAAGCUAGCCACAAAAACAAAUGCUUAUGAUCCCACUUAUAUGAGGUAUUGAGAGUGGUCAAAUUCACAUAAAGAGGAAGUAUAAUGAUGGUUUCCAGGACCUGGGAUGGGGAGGAAGUGGUGAAGGCGCUCCCCCUCCCACUGUCUUGACAGGGUCACAGUGAGGAUGAAUGCUGGCAAAGCCACUCUCCCACUGUCUUGACAAGGUCACAGUGAGGAUGAAUGCUGGCAAACCGAAAUCAUGAGACCCUUUUUUAUGUAAUUGGGACUUUUCAUUUUCAUGCUCAUGUUCCUGACAGGAGGCAUGAGUAUGUUAAAUGCUAAACCAAAUUAAAUUUCAGAUGGCUAGAACAUAACAGGUAGUUCAUGACUUGAAGGCUGUUCUACUACCCCUCAAUAUGACAAGGACAAAAUAGAAGGCUGCUCCUCUAUCUCAGUACACUGAGGACAAAACUGAUAAUGGACAACAAUCAUUCUCUGAAAGGUCACGAGAAUUUUAAGCACCACAUUGAUUAUAUCAACUAAGAAUCCAAGCCCAUAUUUCCGGCCUCUUAGAAAGCCUAAUCAUUAGGCUUAUUGCACAAAACCCACCAUAUGUAGUUUUAUUUUUGAUUAAGGAAAAGUUAUGUUAUACACUUAGGAAAGUUAAGGCAUAUGAAGGUAUAUUCUCCUCUUUUCUAUAAAUCCUCUUUUACUUCACAUAGGGACUUAUGAUGAGCAUAGUUAAUGUUGGCGGUAAAUGGACUGAUGUUUAGAACUUGCCUUUUACUGAGAGAGAUUACAAAGAUAUAAGAACAAGUGCACCUUGGGGCUGGGAUUGUGGCUCAGCGGUAGAGCGCUUGCCUAGCAUGGGAGGGACCCAGGUUUGAUCCUCAGCACCACACAAAAAUAAAAGCAUUAUGUUGUGUCCAUCUACACCUAAAAAAUAAAUAUUUUAAAAAAAGAACUAGUGCACCUUGACUAAGAAACAAAAAAAACUCUUUGAGAAAGCAGUUCAACCAGUUUUAUGAGAAUAAAUGUAGGAAUUAAUUAAAGCAACUUUGUAAGACAUAUUUUUAGAAUAAUGAUAGAAAUAUUAUUUUGUUUAGAUUCUUGGGUUUAGAAUUCUUAAGUUUUUAGCUGUAUGGCUUUCUGAUAUGCUUUAAGAAUGGUUUAUAGAAUUUAAGAAUGGUUUGUAGACUUUAGGAUAUUUUAAGUAUAAGAUUUAAGGGGAUUUCUUUAGAUGGGAAUUUUAGAUUAAGAAUAAGGUGCAAGUAUACUUUAAACUUAAAGGUUAAUGAUAGGUGAGGAGACUUAGAGUCUGGUUAUGUAGUUUGGCAUUAGCUAAUAAGAAAAUAGCAUAUCUUGGGAAAAAUAGUACAUCUUCGGAAAAAUCUGAAAAUGUAAAUUAGUGAUGCAUUUUAUUAACGAUUCUGUACACUUAAUAAAUGAUAACUAAAUGCCACAUCCUGGAAAAAUGUAAAUUGAUGUUACAUUUUUCUAUAUCCCUAGUGAUGGUUAAGAAAAUGUCACAUCUUGGCAAAGUUUUUGAAAUUGUAUAAUCAAUGAUGUAUUCUGAAUCCAUAAUGAUGAGAAAAAUUGCAAUAAAAGAUGACCCAGAGAAAGCUGUAUUAGAUUUCUCUCUCUGGAGAUUGCUCCAGUGGAACAACCCCUGUUUCCUCCUUUUCAUUGAUGCCACUCAUCCUUCAGGACUCC